GUGUCAGCAGCCGCGGUAAUACGGAGGGUGCGAGCGUUGUUCGGAAUUAUUGGGCGUAAAGCGCGUGUAGGCGGCUUAUUAAGUCUGAUGUGAAAGCCCUGGGCUCAACCUGGGAAGUGCAUUGGAUACUGGUAGACUUGAGUACGGGAGAGGGCAGUGGAAUUCCCAGUGUAGGAGUGAAAUCCGUAGAUAUUGGGAGGAACACCGGUGGCGAAGGCGGCUGCCUGGACCGAUACUGACGCUGAGACGCGAAAGCGUGGGGAGCAAACAGGAUUAGAUACCCCUGUAGUCC
rnacentral:rRNA from 1 species